rnacentral:rRNA from 1 species
GACGAACGCUGGCGGCGUGCUUAACACAUGCAAGUCGAGCGAUGAAGCUUCUUCGGAAGCGGAUUAGCGGCGGACGGGUGAGUAACACGUGGGUAACCUGCCUCAUAGAGGGGAAUAACCUUCCGAAAGGAAGAUUAAUACCGCAUAAGAUUGUAAUAUCGCAUGAUAUAGCAAUUAAAGGAGUAAUCCGCUAUGAGAUGGACCCGCGUCGCAUUAGCUAGUUGGUGAGGUAACGGCUCACCAAGGCGACGAUGCGUAGCCGACCUGAGAGGGUGAUCGGCCACAUUGGGACUGAGACACGGCCCAGACUCCUACGGGAGGCAGCAGUGGGGAAUAUUGCACAAUGGGGGAAACCCUGAUGCAGCAACGCCGCGUGAGUGAUGACGGUCUUCGGAUUGUAAAGCUCUGUCUUCAGGGACGAUAAUGACGGUACCUGAGGAGGAAGCCACGGCUAACUACGUGCCAGCAGCCGCAGUAAAAC